rnacentral:rRNA from 1 species
CAAUAGCGUAUAUUAAAGUUGUUGCAGUUAAAAAGCUCGUAGUUGGAUUUGUGGUGUACUUCGGCGGCCCGUCACUAUGUGAUGGAGCUUGCUGAAGUCGCCAUCCUUGGGUGGAUCCUGUGUGGCAUUAAGUUGUCGUGCAGGGGAUGCCCAUCGUUUACUGUGAAAAAAUUAGAGUGUUCAAAGCAGGCUUAUGCCGUUGAAUACAUUAGCAUGGAAUAAUAAGAUAGGACCUUGGUACUAUUUUGUUGGUUUGCGCACCAAGGUAAUGAUUAAUAGGGACAGUUGGGGGUAUUCGUAUUUCAUUGUCAGAGGUGAAAUUCUUGGAUUUUUGAAAGACGAACUACUGCGAAAGCAUUUACCAAGGAUGUUUNCAUUAA